rnacentral:rRNA from 1 species
AUUGGACGCUGGCGGCAGGCUUAACACAUGCAAGUCGGGCGGGGUGAUGGUGCUUGCACUAUCACUUAGCGGCGGACGGGUGAGUAAUGCUUAGGAAUCUGCCUAUUAGUGGGGGACAACAUCUCGAAAGGGAUGCUAAUACCGCAUACGUCCUACGGGAGAAAGCAGGGGAUCACUUGUGACCUUGCGCUAAUAGAUGAGCCUAAGUCGGAUUAGCUAGUUGGUGGGGUAAAGGCCUACCAAGGCGACGAUCUGUAGCGUGUCUGAGAGGAUGAACCGCCACACUGGGACGGAGACACGGCCCAGACUCCUACGGUAGGAAGCAGUGGGGAAUAUUGGACAAUGGGGGGAACCCUGAUCCAGCCAUGCCGCGUGUGUGAAGAAGGCCUUAUGGUUGUAAAGCACUUUAAGCGAGGAGGAGGCUCUUUUGGUUAAUACCCAAGAUGAGUGGACGUUACUCGCAGAAUAAGCACCGGCUAACUCUGUGCCAGCCGCCGCCGUAA